ensembl:lncRNA
GGGGGGAACGGAUCUUCUCCUUGAGCACCUGCAUGACCUCCUCAAAGAUCAGGCUGGACGUUUAGAUCCGAGAGAACAGAACUUUUUAAACUAUUAAAAACGUGCAACAAACAUUAUUAGCUAAAGACGAAGACCUGAUUUACCCCGGAAGGGGAAAGCCGUAACUUGGAAAUGGCGCCCUUUCCGAGCUCCACCUUGUUUGAUCUAUAUUUGGGGGGGGGGGGGGGGGGGGGGGGCAUGGACGCCUCAGUUACAGCUUGUCUUUUCUGAGCAACAGGCUAGCCAGCUAACGUUGGUGCUUAUAACUAAAUGAUGAUGUUCCUUCUCAAAGCGAAUACUCUAUUAGAUAUAGAAGCUUUUUUAUUUACUGCUGAUGAUAUGAGCAGCCAUGUUGCUAUGACAUCAUAGGCUAAACCUGAGGUUGGAAACACCUCCCCAGCUAGAACUGAGCUAAAACCGCUGGGAGAAAUCACCACGUUCUCACGGAUGUGCUGGAACAUUACUACAAAAAGACGCCGUAUGAUCAAAAUGACACUUAGCCGGACUUUCACACCCACGUCAACAUCAACACUCGACUAGUCGACAUCGCCGAACUUGAAGCGCUGACAUCCACAAGAACGAGUCGUCUGCACUCUUGAAAAAAAAGUUUGAAAGAUUCAACGUAGAACCUGACAACAGAGCAGAUCCAAGAACCGGAGAACCGUGCCAUAUCCAAGAGGAACCUUUUCAUUCAUAUUCCACUGCAGUAACUCUUCCGUCUCGGGACCACUGAACCGUUCACGUCAUAUUUCCACGUAAACGCUAGAACGCCGGUUCUGUCUCGCGUCCAUACUUCACAGAAGACGCGGAACGGCACGGACGACAGAGAACCCCGAGGACCAUGAGAAGAUCGUGUGACGAACGGACGAACUCUCUCCGCGUCCGUGAUUCACAUCUCUCUCGGACUGGAUGACGGAGAACUCAGCGAGGUCUGUGUAGACCCCGAGACGUCAUCCGACAAGGAAAAUAAAACACAAAGAGCAAGCCUGGUGCGCUUUGUGUUCGUGUUACAUCGAGCGCCUUUCACCAGCUUGGGGGCGAAACAGAGAGUCCACUGUGGCUCCAGAACGCAGUGCAUUAAUAAACACUCUGUGGUGUCGGUCAUGCCAUGAAGCAACAAGCGGUUUAAAAUAAUUAUCUCCUGCUGAAUAAGAGCGGCGUCCUGUAUUAGAGAAGACUUUAACAAAAUGGAAAUGCAGAAAGUGGGUUAUUAAACUCCAUUAAUAUCUGCCUAGAGCUUUGUACAGAACACUUCACAAAGAAAAAAAUAUGACAAGUGCUCCGUCGAGAAGCAUUAGUCUCGGUCUGAACUCACAGCGGGCGCUACGCGGCGGCGCGCCACGUCCUCUGGAUCCUUACCGCGCGCUCGUGGUGGAGUCUAAACAUAUUUGCAUAAAGUGAGCAAUCGAAACCUCGAGAAGCACAAAAGACCGCUGCGACGGGAAUGAAAAAUGGUCGGACGAUACACGGUAUGACCCAGCCUGCCAUAUGUCUCGCUAACGUUGACCCAGAUUCGGCGGCGGCGCUCGAUCGGUCAGUUUCGAACAUCAGCGGAGGGGAAUUUCAUGACCUGGAUUUACUAUCACGUCACUCAGCUGUGUGCACGUGUGACACGUAUCGAAACAGUCCGCGCUGGAUCAGGUGCUAUUCUACGGUACGUGCUGCCGAGUCAUGAGUGUGGAAGCCAUUUUGUUUCGAUGGAAUCAAUGAGAGAACUACAACUAGGACCAUUCAUGCAGUAUCACACGGGUGACAUCUUAUUCAUGGCUAUUCCCCGUAACGCUUCUUCAGUCCUCGAUCACUUCAGGUGUAAAGGAGAACGCUCGUGUGAUCGGGCCGCUACUGAGAAACCCAGCCUCGUACGCUUC